rnacentral:rRNA from 1 species
AACGUAGGAGACAAACGUUAUCCGGAGUUACUGGGCGUAAAGGGCGUGUAGGCGGUUUGUUAAGUCUGGCGUGAAAGCUCUCGGCUAAACCGGGAGAGGUCGUUGGAUACUGGCAGACUAGAGGACGGUAGAGGCGUGUGGAAUUCCGGGUGUAGUGGUGAAAUGCGCAGAUAUCAGGAGGAACACCGGUGGCGAAGGCGGGUCUCUGGGCCGAUACUGACGCUGAGGUGCGAAAGCGUGGGGAGCAAACAGG